rfam:Candidatus Methanoregula boonei 6A8, complete genome.
CGGGAUUCGUCCCGUUACAAAGGAAUGUAGCCCGUCAUGGGCCGAACCUUGAG